rnacentral:rRNA from 1 species
ACAUGUCUUUUUGAGAAGUAUUUAAAGUCGGGCCUGCCCACUGAUGAAUUGAAGGGCCGCGGUAUUUUGACCGUGCAAAGGUAGCAUAAUCAUUAGUCUUUUAAUUGAAGGCUGGAAUGAAUGGUUUGACGAAGCAUUAGCUGUCUCUAUAUGAAAUAUAGAAUUUAACUUUUGAGUCAAAAGGCUUAAAUAAGAAUAUAGGACGAGAAGACCCUAUAGAGUUUUAUACGAGGAAAGAGAUGAAAUUUAUAUAGUUGUUGAUGGUUUUGUUUUUUACUUGUAUUAUGUUGGGGUGACAUAAAGAUAUAAUUAACUCUUUAUUGAUAUAUACAUAGAUUUAUGGAUAAUUGAUCCAUUAUUAAUGAUUAUAAGAUAAAAUUACCUUAGGGAUAACAGCGUAAUUUUUCUUGAGAGUUCUUAUCGAAAGGAAAGUUUGCGACCUCGAUGUUGGACUAAGAAAAUGAUUUGGUGUAGUAGCUAAAUUAAUAAGUCUGUUCGACUUUUAAACUCUUAC